ACGCUCGACACCUACGGUAGGCAGCAGUUGGGAAUAUUGGACAAUGGAGGAAACUCUGAUCCAGUGACGCCGCGUGAAGGAAGAAGGUCUUCGGAUUGUAAACUUAUUUUGUCAGGGAAGAAAAAUGACUGUACCUGAAGAAAAAGCACCGGCUAACUACGUGCCAACAGCCGCGGUAAUCUGAGCGGGCUGGCAAGGC
rnacentral:rRNA from 1 species